CCUACGGGGGGCAGCAGUGGGGAAUUGUUCGCAAUGGGCGCAAGCCUGACGACGCAACGCCGCGUGGAGGAUGAAGGUCUUCGGAUUGUAAACUCCUGUUGAUUGGGACGAAUUCCUGCGGGGCUAACAUUCCCGCGGGGUGACGGUACCGAUUGAGGAAGCCCCGGCUAACUCUGUGCCAGCAGCCGCGGUAAUACAGAGGGGGCAAGCGUUGUUCGGAAUUACUGGGCGUAAAGGGCGCGUAGGCGGCCGCCUAAGUCGGACGUGAAAUCCCUCGGCU
rnacentral:rRNA from 1 species